rfam:Verticillium albo-atrum VaMs.102 supercont1.6 genomic scaffold, whole genome shotgun sequence.
GUGCUCGUGGCGCAAUGGCAGCGCGCGGUCUUCCGGUGGCCGAGGCUGCAGGUUCGAGUCCUGCCGGGCACG